rnacentral:rRNA from 1 species
CAGUAGCCGCGGUAAUACGAAGGGGGCUAGCGUUGUUCGGAAUUACUGGGCGUAAAGCGCACGUAGGCGGAUUUUUAAGUCAGGGGUGAAAUCCCGAGGCUCAACCUCGGAACUGCCUUUGAUACUGGAGAUCUUGAGUUCGGAAGAGGUUGGUGGAACAGCUAGUGUAGAGGUGAAAUUCGUAGAUAUUAGCUAGAACACCAGUGGCGAAGGCGGCCAUCUGGGACAACACUGACGCUGAGGCACGAAAGCGUGGGGAGCAAACAGGAUUAGAUACCCGAGUAGUCCCUGUCUCUUAUAC